rnacentral:rRNA from 1 species
AUUGAACGCUGGCGGCAGGCCUAACACAUGCAAGUCGAACGAGUGGCGGACGGGUGAGUAAUGUCUGGGAAACUGCCCGAUGGAGGGGGAUAACUACUGGAAACGGUAGCUAAUACCGCAUACGAUUGAAUGAGCCGAUGUCGGAUUAGCUUGUAGGUGAGGUAACGGCUCACCUAGGCGACGAUCCCUAGCUGGUCUGAGAGGAUGACCAGCCACACUGGAACUGAGACACGGUCCCGACUCCUACGGGAGGCAGCAGUGGGGAAUAUUGCACAAUGGGCGCAAGCCUGAUGCAGCCAUGCCGCGUGUAUGAAGAAGGCCUUCGGGUUGUAAAGUACUUUCAGCGGGGAGGCGUUACCCGCAGAAGAAGCACCGGCUAACUCCGUGCCAGCAGCCGCGGUAAUUC